CACAAGCCCAGAGUAAAAGCUGCUCUAUUGAAUUGUUUUUGGUUUAGUGAGUUGUACAUUUUGAAAGUCUCCGUUAAAUAUAAAACCUUAUAUUAAUGUUAAGUGAUGUUGGCAUAUUAUAAUUCUUCAAGCCCUGUGACAACCUAGAACACAACCCUGAACCUCUGGGAUAGGAUACUAUCGUAUCCUACAGAGAUGUAUGAACUGAAGUUUUCCUUGGCCUCUUAGACUAAAGUUUUUGUUCCUAGUUGGUGCUGUUUGAUUGCCAAUACCUGUAAUUCAGGUUUGUUUAUUUGUUUUUCCUAGAAUGGACAAUGAUCUUAGAAGCUGUCAUUUAGCCUGCUUAAGAAGAAUAAAUUACUACUAUUUUUCUAGCUAUACCUAAAGACUAAGAAAAGAAGAUACCAUUCUGAGGACAAGCGGGGAUAGACGAUGAUGAACCUGUAUGUAUGCUGGUAUAGGGAACUUCAAGGAUAUUCUGACCCAGGAACAUUAGGAGCAAGUUGCAAAGAGGCUGGGCCUGGUGUAAGGGAAAACUUUCUAACAAACUGCUGUUCAUAAGAGAAAUGAACUCAGGAGAUGGUGGGUUUCCCUUAUCUGGACAUCUUCAAGGAGAGGCUGGUAUGUUGAAUGGGUUAGACUACAUUGUCCACUGAGGUCCCUUAAAAGUGGAAAAUUCUGUGAUUCCCUUAUUUGGCGAACUGAAAUUAUUCUGUGGCUAGCAUUCAUUUGAGAAAGAUAAAGUUUCCUACAUAACUUUCAGCCCUUUGACAGUUCGCUGUUUUUUUAACUCUUAAACGUUUUGUCUAUUGGUUCUAAGGCAGAAGAGCAAUAAAGGUUAGGCAGUGGGGGUUAAGUGACUUGCC
rnacentral:lncRNA from 1 species